rnacentral:rRNA from 1 species
UACGUAGGGACCAAGCGUUGUUCGGAUUUACUGGGCGUAAAGGGCGCGUAGGCGGCAAUUCAAGUCAUCUGUGAAAUCCCCGGGCUUAACCUGGGAACUGCAUUUGUGACUGCACGGCUAGAGUGCGGCAGAGGGGGAUGGAAUUCCGCGUGUAGCAGUGAAAUGCGUAGAUAUGCGGAGGAACACCGAUGGCGAAGGCAAUCCCCUGGGCCUGCACUGACGCUCAUGCACGAAAGCGUGGGGAGCAAACAGG